UACCAUCAACUACCAACAAGAUGAUUGGACAACUUUUUUGCCAUUGGCAGAGUUUACUUACAAUAAUACAGUGUCAUAAUGUGUGAAGUCUUGCUUGAGAAUGCUCCGGGCACCUGGUUGUAGAAGAAAGAAUAGAAAUUAUGAUAACAAAAUCCUAAUUCUAAUAGAAUACUAACAAUGCUCUAAUUAGACUAUAAUAAUGGUAAACAAACGUAAUCAAAUAUAAAACAACUCAAAGAAAUUUCAAACAAACAAUAAAAUUCUUAAAGAAAUAUUGGAAUGAUCACAAAUAUUACUCAAAUAUAUGUCAAUUCAACCUUAAUUUAAUUCUAGUUAAAACCCUAUUGAAUUUCACUCAAACUUUAGACCAAACCUAAUUAAAUCUUAAAUCCUAAUAAAUCCUAAAUCCUAAGUUAAAUCCUAAACAAACCUUAAAUUAAACCCUAUUUCAAACCCUAAAUCCUAAACAAACCCUAAAUCAACCCUAAAUCCUAAUCCAAACCCUAAACCUUAAACCAAACCUUAAAUCAAACCUUAACCAAAUUCUAAUCCAAACCUUAAAUCAAAUUCUAAUCAAACUCUAAAUCCUAAUCUAAAUCCUAAUCCAAACCCUAAAUCAAACCCUAACCAAAUCCUAAACCGUAACCCAAACCCUAAAUCAAACCCUUACCAAAACCCUAAUCCAAAUCCUAAAUCAAAUCCUAACCAAAUCUUACAUCCUAAUCCAAAUCCUAAUCCAACCCUAAAUCCUAACCAAAUCCUAAUCCAAACCCUAAACUCUAAAUCAAACCCUAAAUCGAACUCUAGCCAAACCCUAAUC
rnacentral:lncRNA from 1 species